rnacentral:rRNA from 1 species
AAACUGGAGCUAAUACCGGAUGGUUCCUACGGGAUAAAGAUUUAUCGCCAAAAGAUGAGUCCGCGUACGAUUAGCUAGUUGGUGAGGUAAUGGGCUCACCAAGGCGACGAUCGUUAGCUGGUCUGAGAGGAUGAUCAGCCACACUGGGACUGAGACACGGCCCAGACUCCUACGGGAGGCAGCAGUGGGGAAUAUUGGACAAUGGGCGAAAGCCUGAUCCAGCAAUGCCGCGUGAGUGAUGAAGGCCCUAGGGUUGUAAAGCUCUUUUACCAGGGAUGAUAAUGACAGUACCUGGAGAAUAAGCUCCGGCUAACUCCGUG